ACGAACCAUCUUCGCCCAGGAGAACCCGGUAUACACACGGCUACCAAGAUAAAAGUUACAGCAAAGCAUGAAGCCAAAGGAAAUGUUUUUACCAAGUCAUGUUCCUCAAUAGCGGAGAGAGUUUUACCCAGUGUCGGUUCUGCAGAAGAACCCAUUCAUAGCAGACCACCCAUGGCAGCACUUGUAAGGUCGCUACAAAGAACCCGACAGACUCUGCGACCAAAAGAUCCCACUGACGUGUCGUCAAGCCUUGACGAAGAUUUCAUCGAUCAUAGUGCACCGGGAUUUUAUCAAAAAAGAGUAAAAGUUGGGGAAAGGCGCCAUCACAUUUUUUGUACUGAUAGACAGAUGCAACUAC